rnacentral:rRNA from 1 species
AUAGUGAAUCGGACCUGCCCUAUGAGUUGAACACUUAAAUGGCCGCGGUAGCCUGACUGUGCGAAGGUAGCAUAAUAAUUUGCCCUAUAAUUGGGGGCUAGAAUGAAUGGUUUGACGAGAGUAGAGCUGUCUCUUAUAAAGUUUCUAGAAUUUUAUUUUUAAGUGAAAAAGCUUAAAUGUAAUUAAAAGACAAGAAGACCCUAUCGAGUUUUGGGUUUUAUUUAAAAUUUAUUUUUAUAAGUUAUAUUGGUAGUGUUUAUUUAAAGUUUUUGGUUGGGGCAACCUAGGAAUAAGUAAAGCUUCCUUUAUUGGUUUGAGAUUAAUAGAUGUAGAUCCACUGCGGUGUGACUGGCUGAAUAAAUUACCGUAGGGAUAACAGCAUAAUUUUCUUUGAGAGUUCUUAUUGAAAGGGGAGUUUAUGACCUCGAUGUUGGAUCAAAACAUCCUAAAGGUGCAGGGGCUUUUAAGGGUUGGUCUGUUCGACCAUUAAAGUUUUA